rnacentral:rRNA from 1 species
UAGGAAUUUUGCGCAAUGGGGGAAACCCUGACGCAGCAACGCCGCGUGAGGGAAGAAGGCUUUCGGGUUGUAAACCUCUUUUAGUGGGAAAGAAAAAAAUGACGGUACCCACAGAAAAAGCACCGGCUAACUACGUGCCAGCAGCCGCGGUAAUACGUAGGGUGCAAGCGUUAUUCGGAAUUAUUGGGCGUAAAGCGCGUGUAGGCGGUCUAGUUAGUCUAAUGUGAAAUCCCUCGACUCAAUCGAGGAACUGCAUCGGAUACUGCUAGACUAGAGUACAGGAGGGGUGAGCGGAAUUCCUGGUGUAGAGGUGAAAUUCGUAGAUAUCAGGAGGAACAACAGCGGCGAAGGCGGCUCACUGGACUGUAACUGACGCUCAGACGCGAAAGCGUGGGGAGCAAAC